rnacentral:misc_RNA from 1 species
GAAAUGCGAUACGCAAUGCGAAUUGCAGAACCGCGAGUCAUCAGAUCUUUGAACGCAAUCGGCGCUGGCUAACCCCCAGCAUGUUCUGUUCAGUGUGUUAGGAAAUCGCACAACUAAAUGUGGUUGAGGGAAGUUAUUAUUUUCUAAUUUAUUAGAAAUUAACAACUUCUCUCUCCCACUAAACAAGGCCAAGGUGGGAGAACAACUCCACCUUCCCCGAAGUAGUCACUAGCACUCUAGUGAUCUCAGGGAAUGAUAGUGGAUCUCCAAUUACAAAAAAACACCUUGCAAUAAAAAAUAAACAAAAAUCUCCAGUCGCACCUGAGCAGAGCAAGAACACCCGCUGAACUUAAGC